GAUGAACGCUGGCGGCGUGCCUAAUACAUGCAAGUCGAGCGAACGGACGAGAAGCUUGCUGCUCUGAUGUUAGCGGCGGACGGGUGAGUAACACGUGGAUAACCUACCUAUAAGACUGGGAUAACUUCGGGAAACCGGAGCUAAUACCGGAUAAUAUUUUGAACCGCAUGGUUCAAAAGUGAAAGGCGGUCUUGCUGUCACUUAUAGAUGGAUCCGCGCUGCAUUAGCUAGUUGGUAAGGUAACGGCUUACCAAGGCAACGAUGCAUAGCCGACCUGAGAGGGUGAUCGGCCACACUGGAACUGAGACACGGUCCAGACUCCUACGGGAGGCAGCAGUAGGGAAUCUUCCGCAAUGGGCGAAAGCCUGACGGAGCAACGCCGCGUGAGUGAUGAAGGUCUUCGGAUCGUAAAACUCUGUUAUUAGGGAAGAACAUAUGUGUAAGUAACUGUGCACAUCUUGACGGUACCUAAUCAGAAAGCCACGGCUAACUACGUG
rnacentral:rRNA from 1 species